rnacentral:misc_RNA from 1 species
AACGCACCUUGCGCUCCUUGGUAUUCCGAGGAGCAUGCCUGUUUGAGUGUCUUGAAGUCAUCAACUCCAACCGUUUUUGAAAUGGGGUGAGAGUUGGAACUGUGGGGGUCUGCCGCCAAAAACUGGCCGCUCCCCUCAAAUGCUUCGGUUUGGGCCUGUGGGACAAACUCGACUGGGCGUUGUACAAUCCUCGCUCCGACAGAGAGGUCCCCCUUUGCGUGCCCCACCUUUGGACCUGCCUAAAUUGCAGAGAGGCGGUCAAGCUUUUUGAAAUCUGACCUCAAAUCAGGUAGGACUACCCGCUGAACUUAA